CUGGCCCGGUAGCCCCCACUCACGGAGUUUCCACCCCCUUUUCAGUUUCACUCGGAGAUCAGGGGCUGUACCAUACUCCCAUUUCUUGAUCGUUUCCAUUUUUAAGUUUCAGAAUCGCCACCAUCACAACCACCGUGACACAAAUUUUGAACUAUGCCACAGCUCAUAGUUUUCCUGGAUUCAAGUCACUUGAAAUCAUCUAUCUGAUCAGUUUGGCUGACAUUCUUUCGGAGUUGGGAUACUAGUGUCCUUGGGUUUUAUGUUAAUCUUUCCUGAUUUCAUCAAUGAAAUGAUCACCUGACUGCAAUCAACGAUGAAAUGAUGUAAAGAGUCAGAGUAUUACAGCCACUGCGUUGGAGGAAAAUAACUUGUAAAUACUAAGGUCAAACCGCCAGGAACCCACAUUAGAGUUACAUACUGUGGGAAAGCAUUAAACUCUGCAUGCACUUUUAAAAAGCAUUCCAUGUGAAGUUUGAAAAUGAAAUGUCAAAUCCUUUCUCCAGAAUAUAAAUUGCUACUGAUUUCAGGAGUGGAAUCUAUCAGCUACCUGAGAUUUGAAGAGAAGUUCUUGCAGUGCAAAUUUGUUCAGCUCUGGUUGUAGAAGAGUCCCUGGGUUCAGGAUGAUCCAAGGGAAGCCAGAUGCAAGACUCAAGUGAUCUUCCCGGAACAGAUGCCGCCUGGGCAGCUUGUGCGAUACAGCUCAGCCCAGCUCCCUGCCUGGCCCAGCUGCCGGCCUGCCUGCAGGAAAUCUCACAGCUGUGCACGUGUUGCCGCCGCAAAUGCAAGGCUUCCAAACUCACAGGAACCUCCUCCUUGGAGUCUUGUACACAGGCUCUUAGCAUCUGCAUGCCCGAUCUCAAAGCGGAACCUUCAGGAAAACUCCUUUAAGGACUAAUCCCUCCCCCCCACCCCCGGGGUCUUCACCUUGAGCAGAUGACAAUAAGGUCUACUUCAAAGAAAAGGAAUCCCCACCCCUGUUAUCUAAGAGAGGCACCUCUUCCUACUAAGACGUAGUCCUCCACCUGUGCUCUGUUUACUGCCCUUUUUUGUCCCUAUGAGGACUUUGCUACAUCAGUUAUUGCCUCUAUAUCCUUUACCCUCAACCUUCCUCUGAAAAGGCUCACCCUUCCUUAAACCAAACCCAAACCCCCAUAGCAAGGUGUGCUGCCUCUAUCUUGUUUCUCUUGGAAAAAGAAAUCUUCCUUUAUCAACCCUGCAAUCUGGCCUCCCUCACUACUUCACUGAAACCUGUCUUACCAAGGUCACCACUAAUUGUCUGGUUGCUAAAUCUGAUGGAUGUUUUGUGUUGUUGUUGUCCUUUCUAGGUCAUGUGGACAAUGGGGCACUGCUGGCCAUUUGCUUCCUUAUGAUGCUGGCUUGUCUCAUGGCUGUUAGGCCACAUGACUGAGGUGUUUGUCCUCAGAGCUCCCCCCCACCCAGUGUUGGCAUUGCCUACGUUUCAGUUUUCAGCCCACCUCCUUUUUCCUCAUGUUUUUGUGUCCUUGGGUAAUUGCAUUCCUUCUCAUAGUUUCAUCCCUUACCUCUCAAGGCCCAACUUGGUACACAUAAAAGUACUUGUAUUUGAGAGUGUGGCUGGACACAGGAUCAUAGGGGUAGGGAGGGAAAACUG